rnacentral:lncRNA from 1 species
UGGCUUUCCAGAUAAGUUGUUUAAUCAGCUCCUCCUAAUUAGGAGAACUUAAACAUAAAAGGAGAAUCUUCUUUUAUAUUUAGAAUGUGCAAAACAUUUCCAAAUGUGCAUAGUUUGUAUUUCAGUACUUUGAGUUGGAUCAUGUCACUGCUGUGUUAUCCCCUUACACUGCUGGUUCUACACUAGCUCUCUUUUUAAACAUUGUAAACAAAAGAGGAGUUAAUUCCUAUAAUUCUUGUGGUCUGUGUAAACUCUGCUGUUGUCCAGAACAUGUUUCAGAUUUAUGGAAUAGCUGUUCUCCUCACAUCAGAACAUGCUGGUACUUGCUGACUGCUCUCCAUAUAAGGGAUGAGAUCCUACUUUUAUGUACAUGCCCCUUGGUAAAUCAGGGAGAAGAUAUAGCUGAGAAGUAAACAAUAUUGCUGGUAGGAGAAGCGAUAAUAAGGACCAAAGCCUGUUCAUUGCUUUGCAUUUUUCCUGAGUUAAUGGACACAUGUAUUUAUGAUUCUGUUCUAUUUUGUAACUUCAUGGAGCAUCUCCGAAUCUCCAAGGUUAAUUACAAACAUGAAGCAUAACUCGAAAGAAUAAAUGCAGAUUUUUUUCUAGAGUGUAUGCAAAGAUGUUAAAAGCGCUGUGGGCAGAUUUUCAUCUUUUUAAUCCUCAGAAAAGUUUUCUUCCCGCAAAGAUGAAAUACUAUUUGAAAAGUAAAUUUUGAAGUUAGAAAAAGGGUUGCUCCAUUUCUAUUCUGCAGCAUAACACAGAUUCAAGUAGGGUCACGUCUCUGCAUGCUAAAGUCUAAAUUUUAUGCUUAAAACUUUCUGGUCAGAUGGUCUGUGGCAUAAUAUAGAGCUGGAAUGUCCUGGCUUCCAAUUACUGACUUGUUUUCUUCUGCAAGAAUGAUGUUUAGUUUUACAAGCUCUGUUGACUGGUGGUUUUUCUUGAGAAACCAAGAUAAGGGAAAUGUACUGUACUGCUGUCAGUCUUCUGGCUGAUACUGAGCUGUUUUCUGAAACUUGGCCGUGAGUGCUUUGUCCAAAUUUGACAUUUACAGUUUUUCUGCUACGAGGUCAUUUUUGCAGAUAAUCUGCCUUUUUAAAAAAAAAAACAAAAAAAA